rnacentral:rRNA from 1 species
GACGAACGCUGGCGGCGUGCUUAACGCAUGCAAGUCGAACGAAAAGCCCCGGCUUUGGGGGGCGGCCGGGUGGGUAACGGGUGGGUAAACAGCCCGGUACCCUCCCCUUACAUUUGGGAAAAUUUCAGAAAACGGGGGCAAAUCCCGGUAUGGCAUUCCUGCUGUAUGGAGGGGGUUGGAAUGUUUCGGGGGUCGGGGUUGGAUUGGCGCCUUAUCGGCUUGUGGGUGGGGUAGGGGCUUACCAAGGCUUUGACGGGAGGCGGACCUGAGAGGGGAACCGGCCACAUUAGGAUGGAAAUACGGCCCAGACUCCUACGGGAGGCAGCGGUGGGGAAUAGUGCACAGUGGGCGGAAGCCUGAUGCAGCAACGCCGCGUGCGGGAUGACGGCCUUCGGGUUGUAACCCGCUUUCGCCUGUGACGAAGCGUGAGUGACGGUAAUGGGUAAAGAAGCACCGGCUAACUACGUG